CCAACUUUUAAUAAAAAAUGUGUAAAAAAAAAAAAAAAUCUGUUCUUAUCAGUUUAAUAUCUGAUACGUCCCCUAUCUGGGGACCAUAUAUUAAAUUGAUUUUUGGAAAAAGGAGAUGGAAUAGGGGCUUGCUCCGUCCACUCCACGCAUCGACCUGGUAUUGCAGUAUCUCCAGGAACGGUGCACCUCCU
rnacentral:snRNA from 1 species